ACCGAGUACUGGGCAUCGUCCGUUAAAUUCGCAUGGAUGGACAUCUCAAGUGCUGUCAGUCCGGAAGAUUUAGUCUACCCAUGUAUUUUGCAUUUCAUUCAGAAUUGCCCGAGCUACCCCAAAUGUCCGGACUAUCUUAUUUACCCAGACCGAAAUAAGUCAACCGAAGAAUACAGAGUAAAAUAUACUAAGAAGUAUGUCGUGAAAAAUGAGCAGGAAUUAAUCAUUUUUCUACGCAGAUGCAGGAGGAGAUUCGGAAUCGAAUGGACGACAAGAUGGGGAUGACAAAACGAAUUGGAAGGUGGGAUGAUGGAAUAAAUUGCUGAUGGUACCGAGCCCAUGUGAUAGAGAUUGUUGACGACAGUAACUACACGAUGUUCCUGAUCGAUAAGGCUUACAUCAUGAAUACACAUUACUCUAACGUGCGCAAUCCCAGCCGAUUCGCAACAGGUUCUCCCGACUGCCAUCCGAUUCUUCAUAGCCUGCAUUGGACCGACAGGAAAUCAAGAAACGUGGUCAUUAUCUGUUAUCCACGUAUUCAAGGUGGCCAUCGAGAAGUUUGAAUGUUUUUCCAUCUCACUUCAUGGUCGAAGCGUGAAUGACUCAGUGCCGGUCAUUCCAUGCGCUGGAUGUUGAAACGGAGGAACCUCUCGUGGAAUUAAAUUAUUCCGGUUCAUGUGAUACGUAUCAGGAAGACCCCAAAGACGACCAAUUCCGAUCGACCGGUGGUUGCCGACGAAACCAAUCAACAAGACCAUUUUCGUAGGUGUAGCCACCAAUGUAGACAACAAUGGUAUCAUCUACCUGCAACUUCCAAGAGAUAAGUUCUACUCGAACGGGGAACCGUGUCUGGCUAAGUCACAUUGGCGACCAGUUCUAUCGGGCGGUGAUCCGUAAGGUGAUCAGUCCUUGCUGGUACAAGGUCAAAUUGGUUGACUAUGGCAAUAUGGAGUGUGACGUGCAGCAUCUGCGAAAGAAUGUGAUUAGCGGCCGCAUUUCGAUACUGGUCAAUAAGUAUCGGCUGACCGACGUUGCGCCGAUAGAUACGGACUUGGUUUGGAAAACGGACAUUCUGAAUACGAUGCAUUCGUUGAUCGUUGGCAAACAGUGUCAGGUUCAGGUAGAUACAGACACUGCUAGGGUAGUGCCAUGCUACCUGAAGGUGACCAGAGUGGUUUCGAUUGACCUAUCUGAGUACCUGCUAGAGCAACAGUAGGUCGAAAAGAAACACGCCGGUUUGUUGAUCAUCUAUACGGCCCGUACAUGAAUCUUUUUGGCAACAAAAAGCCAAAAGGAGGACGGUUGCUUAUCGGUGCCAAUUUGUACUGGACCCUGAAAGUGACAGUGAAAGUGUGGACAUCCAUUCCAAUAACCGUGGUCGUUUUAGUAGACAAGAACUGGACGAUCUGUUCGACCAUUCCGGAGACAACGCUACCGGAAUCGAUUUGAAUAAGGUGCAGUACUUUUACAGCUUUGGUGAUGUUAAGCAGGAACUCGACUCGAACACGGAACACGAUGAAGUAGUUGACACGGAUAAAACUAGUGACGAAGUUGGUGCUGGUUGUCUCAAAAUGAAUGCGUCCUGAAAUGUUUCGUUUAAUCCGAACGAAUUCGAUACUUCGACCCAAAUAUAUCCACCACUUGAACUGACCCGUCCGACUUUGCACGAAUUUCCACAAUUUCAGCUGAAUGAAUCCUCGAUGGCGAAAAUGUUACGUUCGUUAACAUCGAAAGUUUUCCGAUAUCGAGAAAAAUAUUCCAUACCUUGCGUUGUUCCAACAAAACAGUUUCUAAUGACAGAGUCUCAUCGAAGAGUAUUUUUCCGUGCGUGCGGAAGUACGAAUUUUCUAUGUUGAUUACCCUAACAAGGAGACAAUCAGCGUGCGAGAUAUACUCAAAUGUCCGGUUAGUUAACGGCGUGUUCCACUGCGAAACGUUCAGGUGAAACUGCACUCAAUUCGAGGUAAUCUACGAAUGCGUGAGUCAGACAUAAUGAUGAAGCUGGUCGAGGUAAUCGAAGGUAUUGCUGGACAUCAGGGAUGGGAGAAACGUUCAACAAGUGCCAAUAAAUUUUUAUAAUGUACCGAGUAACGGAAGAAGUGGGAGAAACUUCGAACAACCAACAAAGUUUUAACGCGUGUUGUGGAUAUGAGAAGCCGAUGGUGUCAAUCGGUGUCUUGAAACAUCCAUCAUUGAUGAAUAGCUUGAAUAGUUCUUCAAAAUCUCUCACAUAUUUUAAUUUCGAUAACUUUAGCACCGAUAUACAGAAAAAAUACUGAAAUAAUACUGACGAAAAGUUCAAUUACUUGCGAGAAUAAAUUUACGUAUUUCCGAUCCGAUUCAAUGAAUGCUCAGUACCAUGCACGGACACAAAUAUUCUUUCAUAUAUUUUAUAUGCAAGCAUUCACAAGUGUGUAAACGAAUAUUGGUGUCCGUACACGGUAUCGGAUAGGUGUAAAUAGUGCCUUACUCUACGAGCACAGCCUGCGGGUCUAUAAGUUAAAAGAAUGUAAUCGCUACGUUUCUUGUGUAUGUAUAUCUUAUUGAUCUUAUAAAACUACACAAACUGCAGGGAAAUUAAUUCUUAUUUCUAGUGUAAUCGCAUUGUUGCAAUGCCUAAACAUGUAAUGUAUGUAGCGACAAACAUAGACUUCUUUAUCAAGACUAUACACGGCAGGGCACCUCAUUCAACGGAAUACUCAGUCAGCACCAGCAUCAUACUCGUAGUGUACAGAACAAUACAAUAGUUGUAGAAAAAGAAAGAAUGUAAUGGAGAUGCUGGCCGAUUUUUUUUAAACGGGUUACUGUGAGGUAUAUAAAUAAUAC